rnacentral:rRNA from 1 species
GACAGAGGGUGCAAACGUUGUUCGGAAUUACUGGGCGUAAAGCGAGUGUAGGCGGUCUCAUAAGUCGGGUGUGAAAGCCCCGGGCUCAACCCGGGAAGUGCACUCGAAACUGCGAGGCUAGAGUAUCGGAGAGGUUGGUGGAAUUCUCGGUGUAGAGGUGAAAUUCGUAGAUAAUCGAGAGGAACACCGGCGGCGAAGGCGGCCAACUGGACGAAUACUGACGCUGAGACUGAACA